rnacentral:tRNA from 1 species
GCAUCCAUGGAUGAAUGGUUAAAGCGUAAAGCGCCCAACUCAUAAUUGGCAAAUUCGUAGGUUUAAUUCCUGCUGGAUGCA